CCUACGGGUGGCAGCAGUGGGGAAUAUUGCACAAUGGGGGGAACCCUGAUGCAGCGACGCCGCGUGAGUGAAGAAGUAUUUCGGUAUGUAAAGCUCUAUCAGCAGGGAAGAAAAUGACGGUACUUGACUAAUAAGCUCCGGCGAACUACGUGCCAGCAGCCGCGGUAAUACGAAGGGGGCAAGCGUUAUCCGGAUUUACUGGGUGGAAAGGGAGCGGAGACGGUUAUGCAAGUCUGAAGUGAAAGCCGAAGGCUUAACCAGAGGACUGCAUUGGAGACUGUGAGACUGGAGUGCAGGAGAGGGAAGCGGAAUUCCGAGUGUAGCGGUGAAAUGCGUAGAUAUUAGGAAGAACACCAGUGGCGAAGGCGGCUUACUGGACUGUAACUGACGUUGAGGCUCGAAAGCGUGGGGAGCAAACAGGAUUAGAUACCCCAGUAGUC
rnacentral:rRNA from 1 species